UUGACCUCAUGAUUCGCCGGCGGCAGAAUGCCUAAACUAAUAGUUUAGUUGAAAGGGCCGAUCGGAAUGGCCGAAGUCAGUCC
rnacentral:tRNA from 1 species